rnacentral:lncRNA from 1 species
GGAAAAAAGGGUGAAAAUUUGGAUUCUGGGGGUAUUUUUGAAAAGAAAAUCAGAAACCGAAGGUCAAAACAUAAUUUAGAAAAGUUGUGCCACGUCAGCAGCCACGUCAGCGGCCCGGUCGGCAGCCCCGGCCAACCAGGACGCGCCGCGUGGCAAGGAAACGCUUACCAGGGGACGGGCCACGUGGGCGAUCCGCGUGCGCACAAUCGGACGGCUCAGAUCCGUUCCCGCGCGCACGGACGGCCCAGAUCAAACGUGCGCACGGACGGCCCAGAUUCACGCGCACGGACGGCUCAAAUUCAAUCAGGCACGGACGGCCCAGAUUGCAUCGCGAUGGACGGCCCAGAUUUAAUCCCAAUUAAAUCGCAAUCGAACGGUCCAGAUUUAAUCUUGAUGGAUGGUUGAGAUUAAAAGGCAAAUGGUAUAAAUACCCCCACCCACACCUGACCAAAGAAACCUAGCCGCUAGUGCUCGCCAGAGAAGAAGAACCAGACGCCGGAGGAGCCGGCCACCGCCACCCGCCGCCACACCGGGGAAGUUUUCGACCGCCGAUCGAGGUAGAUUUUCUCCCCUUGCUCGUUUUUUGAUGCUGAGUCCGCCUAUGGCCAAACUGGAGCCAAACCACCGACCAAACGGUCGAAAAACCCAGCCGAAAUCCAGCGGUGCCGCCGCGUCCCUCCUAGAUUUUUACCUCCGAUGAGGCCCUUCCCG